UACGAAGGGGGCUAGCGUUGCUCGGAAUCACUGGGCGUAAAGCGCACGUAGGCGGAUCGCUAAGUCAGGGGUGAAAUCCUGGAGCUCAACUCCAGAACUGCCUUCGAUACUGGGAGUCUCGAGUUCGGGAGAGGUGAGUGGAACUGCGAGUGUAGAGGUGAAAUUCGUAGAUAUUCGCAAGAACACCAGUGGCGAAGGCGGCUCACUGGCCCGGUACUGACGCUGAGGUGCGAAAGCGUGGGGAGCAAACAGG
rnacentral:rRNA from 1 species